UGGGGAAUAUUGCACAAUGGGGGAAACCCUGAUGCAGCGACGCCGCGUGAACGAAGAAGGUAUUCGUAUCGUAAAGUUCUGUCCUAUGGGAAGAUAAUGACAGUACCAUAGAAGAAAGCUCCGGCUAAAUACGUGCCAGCAGCCGCGGUAAUACGUAUGGAGCGAGCGUUGUCCGGAAUUAUUGGGCGUAAAGGGUACGCAGGCGGUUUAAUAAGUCGAAUGUUAAAGAUCGGGGCUCAACCCCGCAAAGGAUUGGAAACUGAUAAACUUGAGUAGUGGAGAGGAAAGUGGAAUUCCUAGUGUAGUGGUGAAAUACGUAGAUAUUAGGAGGAAUACCAGUAGCGAAGGCGACUUUCUGGACACAAACUGACGCUGAGGUACGAAAGCGUGGGGAGCAAACAGG
rnacentral:rRNA from 1 species